rnacentral:lncRNA from 1 species
AAGAGGGAAAAGAAGCCAUAACCAUUGUAUCUCGCAUGUAUGAAAUGAAAUGCAUCAAACCCAGUUCAGUUUCUGCCUUUUAAAAUACUGAAGGUGAAAAACAGGGAAGCUGUGAAUAAUGUGGUUGAUAUCCUCAUAGAGUGACCUCACUUUAUUAGUAUUUCUGUCCUGUUCCAUCUUCUCCACCAAGCCAGUGAUUCCAAUAGGAUCUAGUGAAUCCUGGAUUCCUCAGGAAAAUUUUGGCAGUCUGCCCAACAAAAGUUCCAGACUUGG